UUCUGCGGUCGACAAGAAACCAGGGCGACCCUCAGCAAGUCUUCCCGGAGCAGGUUGGGGGGAACUGAGGGGGGUGGGAUAAGUGAUUAGGCUGGGGGGCCAAGACCGAGAGGGCGGCGGACUAGGAGGACCCGCGAGUGCGGGUGGACGGAAAGGAGGAUGUGGCUUAGGGAAUCCCUGCACGGAUCCCGAGACCGGGAAAUCGGCCCGAGCCAAAGUCUCAGCACCUUCCCCAGGAUCUUACAAAGUUGCAACAACAAAAAAGGAGGGGGGAGGAAGGGGGAAGGGGGUGGGAAAGGGAUACGAUCGCAGGCGCAAGGUUUGAAGUUACAACUGUUUAUUUAGUCCUUAUUCUCACAGGGGAGGGAGCUGCGCGGGAAGGGGGGGGUGCUGCAGGCUGCGAUUUCGAAGCAAACACUGGGGAGGGGGCAUGCGACUUUGUUUCUGGGUGCGGAGCUCCCCGGCGCCCGCGUGUGUCACCGCCAGUCUCCGGGGACCGAGGCGGAGCUCACAACAGGAAAACGCCCAGAGGCUAGCAUGUCAAUCAGUUGUUUAACACAAAUUACCUGCUCUUCCAGAGAUCAGUCACAUGCAAAAAACUCUGUCCAAUUCUUUGAAAAGGUGAGAUUUUUUUUUCUUUUUGCUGUUUUGAAGUUUGGUGGAAUUUAGAAAUUUGAAGAAGUAAAUUAGAAGCCUGAAUGAAAUGUUUUAAAAUAUACAUAUAUUUGUAUAAAAACAAGACACUGGUAUCUCUUUCCUCUUUAACAACACAAAUUGAGAAGGAAGACUUCUUGUUUCCAAAAUGUGACUGAGAAAGAGAUAUAGGGUUCUAUGGCUUGUUGUUGUUAACAGAAAUAAUUUUUUUCAGACCCAUCACCCCAGAAGCUGCCAAACUCCUAAGCCAGCAUUUCCAGCUACUGGCUGGCUGGUGUAUCAGGCCAACUCUUAAUGAGAAUGUAUUGAAAGCCACUCCUGUGGAUUCCUACAAAGUACCUUGGGGCGGGGGGGCCAGUUCUGUUCCAUUCCUUGAGACCAGCGCAAUUGUAGAUAAUAAACAUCCUGAAAAGGUUA